CUCUGUUUCGAAAAGAUUCAGGGCGGAAGGAG
rfam:Anoxybacillus flavithermus WK1, complete genome.